GAACAGCUGAGGUAGCGUUCAGUUUCAGCCCCAGUGCCAUUAUGAUGGAUGUUUACAUCUCUUCAUUGAGAGCCAAUUAUCUCGCUUUUGUGUGAGGCCCCAGGAUCACUCAUGCUGCCAGGCUGCACACAGCACUGUUGGAUCUAGCUGAACGAAUUGUUUUCCCUGUCUCUGGUUCCUGCCACGGCGAGAUUUGGCCACGUGUUCUCUGGAGUUGGGUUAAAUGGGUGCCUUGCUAUGACCACCUUGGUCUUCACAGCAUAAAGGGGAACAUGUCCUACUUGAGGCUGAGACCCUGGGAAAACUCACAUUGUACUCAGUGGCCUUUAAAUGUUCUUCCCAGGCCCUCCGGAAGCUGUGUAGAAGGCCCAGCCAAAGGGAGACACCUGGCUAAUUUGACGGGAGAGUAAAAAGAAGAGGGCCGGCGGUGGAGUGGGAUUAUUUCUGAGACACUGGGAGACCACUGUCAGUAACAUGAAUGAUAUCUUCUUAACUUCUUCCUCUCCCUCAGUCUCUCAUGAUGUGCGGGCUGAUGGGCCAAGCAGGCUCAGAAAUAUAAUGAAGCAGUUGCUGUUGGAAUCCCAUGGCUUCACGGAGCUCAUGUCCUACUUGGAGAGAGAGGGAUAAGAGCUUUAAGUCAAUGAAGAAAGUUAAAGAACUAAGGUGGUAUGACUAAAAUAAAAUGAAGGGAAAAGAAGUAUGAAACCUUGGUUGUACUGCUAGAUCCCCCACUGAUUUAACUGCUGCUCACCUACUUUAUACUUU
rnacentral:lncRNA from 1 species